rnacentral:rRNA from 1 species
UAGGUGGCAAGCGUUAUCCGGAUUUACUGGGUGUAAAGGGCGUGUAGGCGGGGCCGCAAGUCAGACGUGAAAUUCCAGGGCUCAACCCUGGAACUGCGUUUGAAACUGUGGCUCUUGAGUGAUGGAGAGGCAGGCGGAAUUCCGUGUGUAGCGGUGAAAUGCGUAGAUAUACGGAGGAACACCAGUGGCGAAGGCGGCCUGCUGGACAUUAACUGACUCUGAGGCGCGAAAGCGUGGGGAGCAAA